GUGUCUUCCGAGAGGAUCCGAAAACGCGGGAGGAAUUCCUUUCCCUCAUCAGGUGAUGAAAGAAACCUGAUUAGCAACACAAUAUUUCUGAAAAUAUGUGUACUAUACAUUCCAAUGUAUGCUGGGUUGAAGAGGAUAUUAUUAUCGCAUCUUGACUAUAUACGUGUACCAGUUUUUUGCCAAGGCAUGGUUUCCUUGCGGCCUUUUUUGUUAUCAUUGAGCUGUAUAACAUACGAAGUCUAUUUAUCAAUGAGCUUUUCUUUCAAAGUAUAUAAUACUUUGAGGUGAUGUUUGGAUAAUUUCAAAAUACCUUGAAAUGCUUAAUAUAUGCACUAUUAAUCAUUGUUGUUGUAAUUUAUUUCGGAAUAGAUUAUUUAUAUUUGUUUCCUCUGAAAAUAUGCUUAUAUAAAUAGUUAUGAAGAAAAAGAUUAUCAUGCGUUUAAAAUGACAAGAAUGAAAAAAUGUGGUGACUUGAGAACUGGAAAAAAAAUUUAAUUAACGGCAAGGUCUGUAUUAAAUACAUGGGCAUCUUUAUUUAUGUUACAAUGACUAAUACUCAUUUGACAUAUUUACUUUCGUUUUCAGGAACUUUUAAUACGUCUAGAAAUGAAAUACAUGUAUUUACACUCUUUUUCCUGCCAAUUGAUUCUAUUCUUCUACAUUUUUUAAAGGGAAAACAUAGAUUAGAUAUAAUUUCAAUUGGAGAUGGUGAGAAUUUAAAUUCAAAUGAAAGAUAUUUCAUAAUUUGUAGUAAAACAUUAUGUUUUAUGAAAUCACUGCCUUUGAAUUAUAUGGCCUUGUUUUUAAAAAUCUCUUUUUUUAAACGUAUUCAUUGAAAAAACCCAACUUUUUUAUUCAACUUUUAUUAGAAAUGAUUUACUAUGAAUUCUUUAUGUAUCCAAAAUGAAACGUUUUAUACCUUUUUAUAAGAACUUUUGAUUGGCUGUUUUUAAGUUUGCUGAAAUCAUGAUGUUUUAUAAACGCGCACACAGGCAAACUAUGGAGAUAAUGAUAAACGUGUACUAAUAGUAUGUUUUAAUAAACAUUUUAUUGUUUAAUCAUGUUGAAAAAUGUUGAUGCUUUUGUGUUUUACUUUGAAAAAUAAGAAUUGUUUACUCGGAUAAAAUAUAAUAACAUGUAUAUGCAUUUGUUUUAUCAUUGUGUUGAAUGAAAUUAAUGAAAAUAACAUAUAAAAACAUGAAGAGC
rnacentral:misc_RNA from 1 species